AUUGAACGCUGGCGGCAGGCCUAACACAUGCAAGUCGAACGGUAACAGGAAGCAGCUUGCUGCUUUGCUGACGAGUGGCGGACGGGUGAGUAAUGUCUGGGAAACUGCCUGAUGGAGGGGGAUAACUACUGGAAACGGUAGCUAAUACCGCAUAACGUCGCAAGACCAAAGAGGGGGACCUUCGGGCCUCUUGCCAUCGGAUGUGCCCAGAUGGGAUUAGCUAGUAGGUGGGGUAACGGCUCACCUAGGCGACGAUCCCUAGCUGGUCUGAGAGGAUGACCAGCCACACUGGAACUGAGACACGGUCCAGACUCCUACGGGAGGCAGCAGUGGGGAAUAUUGCACAAUGGGCGCAAGCCUGAUGCAGCCAUGCCGCGUGUAGGAAGAAGGCCUUCGGGUUAAAGUACUUUCAGCGGGGAGGAAGGGAGUAAAGUUAAUACCUUUGCUCAUUGACGUUACCCGCAGAAGAAGCACCGGCUAACUCCGUG
rnacentral:rRNA from 1 species